GCACCGGCUAACUACGUGCCAGCAGCCGCGGUAAUACGUAGGGGUGCGAGCGUUAAUCGGAAUUACUGGGGCGUAAAGCGUGCGCAGGCGGUUUUGUAAGACAGAUGUGAAAUCCCCGGGGCUUAACCUGGGGAACUGCGUUUGUGACUGCAAGGCUAGAGUACGGCAGAGGGGGGUGGAAUUCCUGGUGUAGCAGUGAAAUGCGUAGAGAUCAGGAGGAACACCGAUGGCGAAGGCAGCCCCCUGGGCCUGUACUGACGCUCAUGCACGAAAGCGUGGGGAGCAAACAGGAUUAGAUACCCUGGUAGUCCACGCCCUAAACGAUGUCGACUAGUCGUUCGGAGCAGCAAUGCACUGAGUGACGCAGCUAACGCGUGAAGUCGACCGCCUGGGGGAGUACGGCCGCAAGGUUAAAAACUCAAAGGAAUUGACG
rnacentral:rRNA from 1 species